GACGAACGUUGGCGGCGUGCUUAAUACAUGCAAGUCAACUGAAGCAGUGGUAGCAAUAUCGCUGUGGAGGUGGCGCACGCGUGAGUAACACGUAGGUAAUCUGCCUUCAGGUCUGGCAUAACUCCGGGAAACCGGGGCUAAUAGCAGAUGAUGCAGCGGCUCGACAUCGAGACAGUUGUUAAAGCUAUGGCGCCUGAAGAUGAGCCUGCGUCUGAUUAGCUAGUUGGCGGGGUAACGGCCCACCAAGGCAACGAUCAGUAGCUGGUCUGAGAGGAUGAUCAGCCACACUGGAACUGAGACACGGUCCAGACUCCUACGGGAGGCAGCAGUAAGGAAGAUUGCUCAAUGGGAGAAAUCCUGAAGCAGCAACGCCGCGUGAGGGACGAAGGGCUUUUGCUUGUAAACCUCUGUAGUGAGAGAAAAAAAUCCCAAUCUUUGGGACAUGAUGGUAUCUCAAAAGUAAGCCCCGGCUAACUACGUG
rnacentral:rRNA from 1 species